rnacentral:misc_RNA from 1 species
AAGUCGUAACAAGGUUUCCGUAGGUGAACCUGCGGAAGGAUCAUUAUUGUCUACGUGGCCUUCGGGCCCCAAACACAAUAACCCUUGUCUUUUUUUGUGCACCCUUUGUUUCCUCGGCAGCUUUGCCUGCCAACGAGGACCCCCCAAAAACCUUUUGCAAUCUUAGUAUAACAAUCUGAAAACAAACAAUAUUAAAACUUUCAACAAUGGAUCUCUUGGCUCUG